UAGAGGUUGAAUGAUUUGUGCAGCUGUUUGACAUUAAGAAGAAUCUUAUACCAUACCUAUCAGUAGCAGUGAUCAUCGACUCAUACAAUGAUAAUGAGUUUUGAACUCAACCGAUUAGAUCUAAUGGUUAGAUCUGAUUUAGGACAUCGAUGUGAAUGAUAUAGUUUUUCUUUAUGUCAGAUUGUUGUAUGCAAAAAAUUUCAUAUCAUAGUUUCUUAAAAAAUAGUUUAGAUCUGAUCUAAAGUAUGUAUAAGAGAUUAAAAUAUUUAAUCUACUAUCUUUCACUA
rnacentral:lncRNA from 1 species